rnacentral:snoRNA from 1 species
AAGAGUGUGCUUUCAGGGAUCAUUUCUUCAAUUUCUUACUAGAGAAGUUUCUCUGGGUGCGUGGAGCACUGGAAACCAUGAGGAGGAGGCACAACUUUCUUUCCUGAGCUUGAAACCCGCUCUUGGCAUUGCUUUGCUACAGUUGCCAUUUGUCAUUGAUCAUGGUUCUUCUCCUCCUCCAGGAGAGUAAAAGGGAAAGGGCACAGCCUGAGUGGU